UCUCCGUUGGUGAACCAGCGGAGGGAUCAUUACCGAGUUCAUGCCCGCAAGGGUAGAUCUCCCACCCUGCUUACCUACCAUGUGCUUUGGCGGGCCGCUCUUCGGACUGUCGCCCUUCGGGGGGGCAUGCGCCCGUCAAAGGAUUUCAACUCUGCAGUCUCUGACGUCUGAGUCUAAACAAAAUAUAUCAAAACUUUCAACAAAGGAUCUCUUGGUUCCGGCGUCGAUGAAGAACGCAGC
rnacentral:misc_RNA from 1 species